AAAUAGUAAGUAACUUAUUCUAAGUCUUCAAACAGUUACUCCUAGCAAAGUUUUUCCAUUAAGAUUAAGGUACAUAUUACAAUUACAGAGGCCAAGUACCCACACAAUAUAGAAACUAGUAUUACAAAACUAAGGAAAGCCCACUACUUGGCUGAAGUGGGGAUUCUCGUCACUGGGCAUACUGACAGAUUGUGGCCAAUCUAAAUCAAAGGUCUGAAGAGACACUGACCUGCCUACAUACCUGGGAUGUUAUCCUGUCCUACAUACUCCAAGGCAUCAUAGCCGAUGAAUCAUUCCAAAACUGCUGCAACCUUCAACUUAUUACAGAAGCCAAAAGCAAGCCAAUCUUGCUUCGUAAAGGACAUUGUAACUAGCAUACCAGAAGUGUCCCUAUUUCAGCUGUGAGCGAGCAGCUGCAACUUAGUUGCUGGCUGGGGUUAAACCAUGACAAGAAUCUGACUCCUUAAGUGGUCAGGUGCUCCUGCUUCAAGGGUAUUAGCAUCCAUCACAAAUGAGCAGACAGGCUGGAGAAGGUAAAGGCUUUGAUGAUCCAAUGUUAAAUCCUCGUAAAACUCUCUAAAUGUUAAAUAUCCAAGCAUCAUGAAAAAACCUCCAUAUAUCCUGCACUAAACUAAGUGCUUCCUCCUCAGAAGUAGCUCAGUAUAUCUGUCCAAGGCAGAGACAAGAUGUCAAGCAAGUGAUUUUGAAGUUCUUAUGGACGUUAUUCUCUUAACAGAAAAAACAUACUUAAACUCCAUAAAUGAAGGUAUUUACUUGGGAAGAGAAUUAAAACAAGGUGUUUAUUCUAUGAUAUUCUCAUUUUUGUCAAAAGAAACACUUUAACCUCCUUAAAACACCUGCUAAUUUUUGCAAAACAGGUAUCUUUCUUCUAUCUUGCAAGGCCAUAGUAAAUUGACAGUUAAUCAACUGUGUUAAUUAUCUGAAAGCCUAUCAUCCUUAACAGCCAUACUUUUGUCUUAAGCAACUAACAGGCAUUGCUACACUAGUCUGAAGUGGCAAAAACACACCACCACCAUCCAACAUGUCUGCCUUUAACUUCACUCCCUUUCAGAUGUUUUUAUUCAGAUUCACAAUGCACAUAAGCCUCUCUUUGUUAAAAGGCCCUUCUGUGUACAAAGAAAAUUAUGCCUUAGGCAACUACAAGCUACACAGACAGCUUUCUCUGUAGAAAACUUUUUCUAAAUCCCAACAUUGCUGCAUUUAAUAUCUCUCAGCUGUAUUAUAUGGCACUUUGGUUUUUUCUAUCUUAUACAGAAGAAGCCCAAGUUAAUACAGAUCACACUAAACACUACAUAUCUGAACUUGAACUUAGGGUCUUGUUUAACUUCUGUAUAGAUUUUAAACAGUGUAACACAUUUCGGGUUAUCCCAAACACAAACACUAAAACAAGAAAAAAACUAAAAGGAGGUUAAAUGAAUUGGAACAAUGAAUUUCACUAAAAUUUAACUUUUUUUAAAAACAAAAAAUCUCAUUGAUAUUGGAAAGUUAAUUCACUAUAGAUCUUUGAGAAUGCUCUCCAUGUUACUGCACAGUUGUAUUAGACAAUACAGAAACCUUUCACACUAACACCUACUCUAAAGCCACAAUAAAAUGCGCAAAGCCAAGUGUGCAUUAGUAAGAUUGCUAAAGGAGAAAAUAUGUGGUUCUCCAUGUAUGCUGACAUACAAAAAAUAAAUACAUGUAACAGCUAGAAAUAGGGCAAAAGAAGAAUGCAAUGAAACUCAGCUCGUAUUUAUUUUUGUAAGCUUUGUAAGCUUUUUACUUUUCAACAACUGUUGGUGUGCGAAGACACAUACAGACCACUGAAAGGGUCUGUAUAUUACAAAUGUACAAAUAUUACAAUGUAACAGACUGACUCAUGCAAGCAACAACUACUGGAGAGUAUUUAUCAAUCCAUAAAAUCCAAAUUUUUUUAAGUCUGUAUGCUGUUUGGUAGUUUUAGGAGAAGUUUAAAUUUAUCCAAGGAGGAAUACAGCUCAAAGCACAAACAACUUCAAAAUACAAUAUAACAUAAGAAAUCUGUCAAGGGGAAGAGUGGCAAAAAAUCUGUUCAGUUUAACAGAUUUUUUUAAUUCUAGUAACCAGCACCUGUUUUGUUUGAAGUCACAAAAUGUAAAAACAGCACAUGAAAUUCUGCGAUUACUAACAAAGAAAGGUAUAUCCAGAAAUGUAGCAAGUUCACCCAAAUCAAAUGCAAAGCCAGGAUGCACAAAUGACAAAACACAAGCUUGUGUUUGCAGCACUUUUUUUUUUUUUCAUAGGAACUAAGUUCUUAACUCUUAAGCAGUCAUUUCAUGCAUUAAGCAUACACCACAGUUAAAACAGCUACAUAUCCACUCACAAACAAAAUGUAACAUGGAGCCCGGGUUUCAAAACUACACAGUUCAAGAACACAUUUACUUCCUCCACUUGACAUGCACAUUUGCUACAGCCUAGUGCCAACUAUGUUUAGCUUAGAAAGUUAUAAUUCUCAAUUACAGACACAGGGCUCAGAUAUAAUCCUUGCUGUCAAUUACCCAAUGUAGAAGUGCCAUUACAUUAAAGGUUGACAAGGGCAAGGACAGUACACAAGCUCAGUUCAAAACAAACCAACAGGAUAAUUUUCUCACCUCCAAUUGUACUUUCUUGAAACUCAUGAAACUGUCCUUUUACAAAUCGAAGCACCAAACUUGAUUUGCCAACUGCAGACUCUCCUAAAAGUACUAGUUUGAACUGGCAAAUUUUAUUUCCAGCAUUUGGCCCAUUGGGUCUUGUUGCUCCUCGAUUAGCCAUGUCCAAAUUAGAAAGAAGUCCUUUAUUUCAACAGCUUUUGAAAGUAAGUUCCAGGAUUCAGACCUCAGUGGUUCUUCUGCCAGUAACAACCUAUUUGUGAAAAGACAGUGGGUGGUAUUAGAUUUACAAACCAAGUAAGAAAGAUCUCAUUCACUAAUGAAACAUGUACUACACAUAACUUGAUCUAAUAUUUACCAAAGUGAAAAGUCCAGAGUAUAGCUACCAUCGCUGCUAAGUUAUCAACUAUAGCCAGAAUUUAUGACAAAUGAACCAGUUAUUUUCUUCAAUACCUAGUCUUCCCAUUAAAGCUUUAAAUUAGGACAUUGAAAUUCAAUUAUGCUGCUUCUUGCAAGAUUUCGGUCUCUUAUUUCUUAAGAUAUCAAGAUUGAAGUAUAAUACAACAUAUUCAGACUUUCAAAUUAUUGUUAAAAUAUCAAAUGGCAAGAAGUAACAAUUUUUCCAUAAUUAUGCCAUUGCUAACCAAUAUUCCAAAGCCGGCACCAAUAAACAAUGCUAAAAAACUGAGCAAAUUGGGCAAACUAGAACAACACAGUAAGUUCUUUCCAAGUGUGAGUCGUCAACUCACUUUUAUCAAAUGCAAUUUCCUUAAAUAAAAGCACAGAAGAUCUUCACAUACUCUAGAGUAUAUAUCUUCACUGAUAUAUACUCUAAUUAACAACUGUACUGAGAAGCAACGGUAAAGCCUUCCCUAUGAAGAAAACCAGAUUUUUCUUGACCAGUAAGAAUUCCAGAUCACUUUGUACAAGUCACCAGAGAAUUAUGAUGUUAGAUUUCUAUUUCCAGUACUAACACGUCCUAAUAGAUCAAUAUUCACAACAAAGAUCUUUGUUAAGAACAACUAUAAACAGUGUAUUCCUUACUCUGUCUCCUUUUCAACUCCUUAAAAGGACCUCACCCCCUGUAUUUAUUCAUAUGGACAGAGAAGCCUUUAGAGUCUGCUGGUAUCACUUCUAUGCCUAAUAUUUAUGCUUUUACACACUUAACAGCAGACACAAAACAAAAGUCACACCAAAACUAGCCUAUAACUUCGUCCUACUCCAGUUGAUUAUCUACUUGAAUUGUGCACACUUUGUGGGGAUACAGCUUCUCUAGUAUCCAGGAUGCAAGCAAGUUAGAGUACAUUCUCCUAACGCAGGAAAUGGCUUCAGUACUUAGUUGAAAAAGGUAAGCAAACAUAACACUUUCAAAUGACUUCUUAUUCUUUAUUCCUAGUGGUAAAGCAACUGCAUUUUAAACCAAGCAGUAGUCUUUAGCCAUCUUCCUAUUUCAAACCCCUUAGCACACAGAACAGGCACUUGAGCAUUCUAGUUUACCAUACGCUGAGCUCAGACACUAAGCCUUCGUUCUCCUUCCUAACUCUCCUUUUGUAAACUCAACCCAAGUGCUGAAGAACCUUAUUUCCUGUAAAGUGCUUCAGCACUCUAGCAGAACUCCAUCCUCCAAUGAGAUACUUCCUCACAAAACUAAUUUUCAUGGAAUAAAUCAAAACAGAAAUCUAAGCAUUACUUACUGAAUUACAUUCCAGUUGAAAAACAGGUAUUCUAUUUCUCAGUGUAAACACAACUUGAACACAGGUAUUAAAAAACCAUUUUCAACAUCCUAAAGACACUCCUAUUUGCUGAUGUUGCUUCUUUUCCCGUAUCUCUCAAAAUAAUUUAGCUUGUUCCAGGUAGGAUAUUACAGUUCUGUAUUCUGUCCUGAGUUUGUGUCCUAUUUGACUAUUACAUCACCCUUAAAUCAAAAGAUAUAUAUUUUUUAAAUUUUAGUUGUACAACAUAGUCUAGUAAGUAUCAUGUUUUAGAUGUAUGUUCUUACAAACAUGUGAAAGUGUACCAUAGCAAAAGAAUGUUUCUAUGAAGCAAAAAAGCCUUUGCAUAUCUCACCACCAUUAAGUAUGGUAUUAAUUCCAUACUCAGAUUCUUACUCAUUAAAUUAAUUUUGGUGAAAUAUUUCAGAAUACAGGAAUGGAUCCAAUUAUUUCAAAAAUACCAGGCCUUUUAUCCUUACACCAUAAAACAACAAUUCAUGCACUGCUGGUGUGUUGGUUCUCCAGCAAAACUCUGCCACCUCCAUAUUGCUUAAAUAUGGAUUAGAAGUUGUGGAGCAAUUUGGAUAAAAUAAUUGAUCAGUGACAACAGUUAAUCUCUCUCUAAUUAUACUACAUUAGAGAAAGUAAGGCAUAGCCACAAUAUAGGUAGUUCAGAAUACUGUUAGCCAUUUGUUUAUCUUUUCCUUUGGAAAAUGAAUGAAGACAAGUUAUUUCUGGUUUAAAAUGAAAAAAAAUCUGUUUGCUGUAGCAUUCCAGUGUGUUUGGACAACUAUGAAAUAAUUUAAAACCCUUUAAUUUUAAUACAUCCCAUGUUUUUCUAGACUCUGCAGCAUUCAUAAAGACAUAAGGAUGACAUCCAAGGACUGUGCAACUUCGUACUCUUGGGAGCAAGUGACUUCUGGAUGACACACAGUGAGGAAAUCAACCCACCACGCUGGUUACUUGCUGUGACCGCUUUUUUGCUUGCUGUUCCCCACACUGAGAGCAAAACGAGGUCCAGCAGAACUAGGGUGGCACCUUACUGCAGGGUUCAAGACAGUAAUAUGGACAACUAGCAAAACAAGUGUCACACACAAGCCAGUUUAUAUUGAAACAUAAUGAGACAGUAAGUUAAACGAGUGAAUCAACACAAUCGCUGCAAAAAGUCAUAGCCUUCCCAUUAAAGGUAAUAGGAAGCUCAUAA